UGGGGAAUAUUGCACAAUGGGCGCAAGCCUGAUGCAGCCAUGCCGCGUGUGUGAAGAAGGCCUUCGGGUUGUAAAGCACUUUCAGCGAGGAGGAAGGGUUCAGUGUUAAUAGCACUGUUCAUUGACGUUACUCGCAGAAGAAGCACCGGCUAACUCCGUGCCAGCAGCCGCGGUAAUACGGAGGGUGCAAGCGUUAAUCGGAAUUACUGGGCGUAAAGCGCACGCAGGCGGUUUGUUAAGUCAGAUGUGAAAUCCCCGCGCUUAACGUGGGAACUGCAUUUGAAACUGGCAAGCUAGAGUCUUGUAGAGGGGGGUAGAAUUCCAGGUGUAGCGGUGAAAAUGCGUAGAGAUCUGGAGGAAUACCGGUGGCGAAGGCGGCCCCCCUGGACAAAAGACUGACGCUCAGG
rnacentral:rRNA from 1 species